rnacentral:rRNA from 1 species
AACGAACGCUGGCGGCAGGCCUAACACAUGCAAGUCGAGCGAAGCCUUCGGGCUUAGCGGCGGACGGGUGAGUAACGCGUGGGAACGUGCCCUUUGCUACGGAAUAGCCCCGGGAAACUGGGAGUAAUACCGUAUGUGCCCUUCGGGGGAAAGAUUUAUCGGCAAAGGAUCGGCCCGCGUUGGAUUAGGUAGUUGGUGGGGUAAUGGCCUACCAAGCCGGCGAUCCAUAGCUGGUUUGAGAGGAUGAUUAGCCACACUGGGACUGAGACACGGCCCAGACUCCUACGGGAGGCAGCAGUGGGGAAUCUUAGACAAUGGGGGAAACCCUGAUCUAGCCAUGCCGCGUGAUCGAUGAAGGCCUUAGGGUUGUAAAGAUCUUUCAGUGGGGAAGAUAAUGACUGUACCCACAGAAGAAGCCCCGGCUAACUCCGUGCCAGCCGCCGCCGUAAUAC